AUGAAUCGGACUCCAGCCCACCGUAGCAUGUGGGAAUUGAUCAACCCCAACAAGUUUGAGGAAUUGACAUCACUGACUUCCAUGCUCUUUACAAGCUGCACACCUGGACGCAUGCCAUGGUACGCUGUUAACCAGCUGAGCUUGCAAAUCUACUCAAUCAAGAUUACAGAAAUUACUGAUCUCGAGUGGCCAUUGGUGGUUUAUGGAAUUAUUGCCGCCCGAGACACCGUGGACAGCUGCCGAAACCCUCUGUUCCUUUGUCCAAGGGAUGAGUGGCAGUGCAUCACCCAACAGGAUCCCUUUUUGCGCUUGACUGGCCCAGCUCGUGCGAUUUUGUGUGAAGACCCCGUUUCUUUUGAAAUCCAACUAAAAUUAAAGGGCAGAGCAGAGUCUGAAGAUAGAGUAUUCAUCAGUGAUAUAUUGUCUCAUGAUGCGAAUGCUGGUGAUCGGUUUUCUACCCUGAAUGUAAGCAACCACUUUUGCAAGAUGGAGCUUUGCGUUGAGCGAUUUAAGGGGUCAGUCCAGGCAACUAUCUUGGAUGUUCAUGUCGUUGAACAAGGAUCACCGCCUUUUCCACAUGGCGGCCGAGUUGUCUGCUCCUCGCUGCCUCGUGGUGUACAUGAAGUCAAUUGGCCCUCAUCUAGGCAAAUUGUGUUGCUUGAUUCAGUUGAUGGGAGAAGGUUUAUAGAUGAGCAUGGUUAUAUUGAUCUGCAGAGAAAUGUUGUUUCUGCUGAAUUAAGAGGAGAAUUGAUUGUCUGUAUCAAGGCCUACUCACCAUGUGGUGACAUAUGCGGUGAUGUUCAUUUUACACCCAAGAAGUGCAAUUUCAGUAAAGAGAGAAUUGUCCUUGGGGACAUGGAGGUCGAGGUUACAGUGGCUUGGUCUCUAAUGGUUGACGAUGAUGUGACUAUCCAGGCAAGUGGCCAUGUGGACCCAUUUGGGAUGUGCCCACCUCUACACCCCUCUCUGUUGAAAGAAAUGGACUGGUCUGUUUAUGCUUAG
rnacentral:rRNA from 1 species